rnacentral:rRNA from 1 species
GACGAACGCUGGCGGCGCGCUUAACACAUGCAAGUCGAACGGAAAGGCCUGCUUUCCCUUGUGGAUUGCGGGUACUCGAGUGGCGAACGGGUGAGUAACACGUGAGUGAUCUGCCCCCAACUUGGGUAUAAGCCUGGGAAACUGGGUCUAAUUCCCGAUAGGACUGCAGGGUGGUGCCUGUGGUGGAAAACGAUUUUCUAGUGGUUGGGGAUGAGCUCGCGGCCUAUCAGCUUGUUGGUGGGGUAAUGGCCUACCAAGGCGGCGACGGGUAGCCGGUCUGAGAGGGUGGACGGCCACAUUGGGACUGAGAUACGGCCCAGACUCCUACGGGAGGCAGCAGUGGGGAAUAUGGCACAAGGGGCGGAAGCCUGAUGCAGCGACGCCGCGGGGGGGAUGACGGCCUUCGGGUUGUAAACUCCUUUCGACCGCGAGGAAGCCACCUGGUUGGAAGGGUGGUGACGGUAGUGGUAGAAGAAGCACCGGCUAACUACGUG